rnacentral:rRNA from 1 species
GACGAACGCUGGCGGCGUGCCUAAUACAUGCAAGUCGAGCGAAGUUUUUCUGGUGCUUGCACUAGAAAAACUUAGCGGCGAACGGGUGAGUAACACGUAAAGAACCUGCCUCAUAGACUGGGACAACUAUUGGAAACGAUAGCUAAUACCGGAUAACAGCAUUAACUGCAUGGUUAAUGUUUGAAAGUUGGUUUUGCUAACACUAUGAGAUGGCUUUGCGGUGCAUUAGCUAGUUGGUGGGGUAAAGGCCUACCAAGGCGACGAUGCAUAGCCGACCUGAGAGGGUGAUCGGCCACACUGGGACUGAGACACGGCCCAGACUCCUACGGGAGGCAGCAGUAGGGAAUCUUCCGCAAUGGGCGAAAGCCUGACGGAGCAACGCCGCGUGAGUGAAGAAGGAUUUCGGUUCGUAAAGCUCUGUUGUUAGGGAAGAAUGAUUAUGUAGUAACUAUACAUAGUAGAGACGGUACCUAACCAGAAAGCCACGGCUAACUACGUGCCAGCAGCCGCGGUAAUACGUAGGUGGCAAGCGUUGUCCGGAAUUAUUGGGCGUAAAGCGCGCGCAGGUGGUUUAAUAAGUCUGAUGUGAAAGCCCACGGCUCAACCGUGGAGGGUCAUUGGAAACUGUUAAACUUGAGUGCAGGAGAGAAAAGUGGAAUUCCUAGUGUAGCGGUGAAAUGCGUAGAGAUUAGGAGGAACACCAGUGGCGAAGGCGGCUUUUUGGCCUGUAACUGACACUGAAGGCGCGAAAGCGNGGGGGAGCAAACAGG